rnacentral:misc_RNA from 1 species
AAAAUUUUUUGAAGAAUCGUUUACUUUGUUUUCAUUUUUUGUAAGUAAAAACGUCGUUUGCAACAACCUUAAAUAGCGUUACUUGGAAGAAAAAUAUUUAAACCAAAGUUUUUAUAUAGAGAAGUAUAUCGAUGGCUCCAAACUUCGACGCCGUAUCAUUACCUUGUCUCAAUAAAUGUAUUGAGUUGGGAACUCAUCAAACGUUUUCUUUGUCCGAUUAUGUUGUAAUACACCUGUGUAAACCUCCUUGUAUCGAAUGCGAAUUUAUAAAUAUAUCUUCAAAACAAGCAUUGCAAAUUAUCUUAAAGGAAGAAAAAAUGAAAAACGAAAGGUACAGAGAAAAGAUUAUAGAGUUAUCUAAAAGGUAUGAACAAUCGAGACGAAAAGUUAAGAAUCAAAAGCUCAGGAUUGAACAACUUUCGAAACAACUUCAAACAGAGCAAAAAAAAACUUCUGAAAACGACAUUGAAAAGUUUGUUGUUAUUAAUUUAGAUACUAAUCACUAAAUACUAGAGGUACUAAUUACUAUGAAUGUUUACUUGAUAAAAAUAAGAGAAAUUAUAAGUUUUUA